rnacentral:rRNA from 1 species
UACGUAGGGUGCAAGCGUUAAUCGGAAUUACUGGGCGUAAAGCGUGCGCAGGCGGUUGUGCAAGACAGAUGUGAAAUCCCCGGGCUCAACCCGGGAACUGACGUCCGAUACUGGAAGGCUGAAUCCGGGAGAGGGAUGUGGAAUUCCAGGUGUAGCGGUGAAAUGCGUAGAUAUCUGGAGGAACACCGGUGGCGAAGGCGACAUCCUGGACCGGUAUUGACGCUGAGGCGCGAAAGCCAGGGGAGCAA